UGGCAAUCAGUCUUCUCCAAUGCCCAGUGGCGAGGCUGGUUCCGCCACAGUCUGUCCUGUGGAAAAGAUCUUUUAGGACGUCUAUCUUGAGGGAGAAAGGCCUUAUGUCCUUCCACUGCCCUUUUAAUACAUUCGUCCAGAUAUUUGCCAAAGAGCACAUCCCCUUGAAAACGGAGGGCACACAGGCUAUUUUAUGAAGAGGUAUCUGCCACCCAAUUAUGUAGCCAAAGAGCACGUAUUGAUGCUACUGUUAGGAC